GCCAGCGUAGCUCAAUUGGUAGAGCAGCGGUUUUGUAAACCGCAGGUUAUCGGUUCAAGUCCGUUCGCUGGCU
rnacentral:tRNA from 1 species